UUUUUCAGUGGAUUAUAUGGAAACCCUCUAAUUUGCAAUUGUCCAUUAGUCGACAUUGUUCUCUUGGUGAAAAGAAGAGGAUUACAGUGGAUUUCCCGUCCUUCCUGUCACAGCCCUGUGACUCUAAGAAAAACAUUGCUGAAGGACCUGAAACUUCAAGAAGUAAUUUGUGAUUCAGAUUCCACCACCGGUUCUAUCCGCGUGGAAACAAGAGUUCCUGGUACGUAUUUUGGAUCAAUUUAAUCAAAGGUUGUGUGAUUACUGGUGGUACAUGUAGCUUAAAACCUAGGACAGUUAGCCUUUGUUCUAAUUGUUCCUUCGUCAAGUUUUCUAUAUUAAAAGAGAAAAAAGUUUUUCCACUGAUGCAGAAACUGUCUUUUCGACAAUAACCGGAUUUGGCAAGUAUUCAACAUGUACCAAACAUUUUGAACAUUGUAUAUAACACUGAUUUGUAAAGUAGCAAUUUACAGUAUACGUCAAUGACACUUGAUGCAUGAAAUUAUCAGCAAUGAAUGUCAUUGUAUCUCUUGCCGCUAACAUCAUUGAAAACAUCGAUUUGAAAUGGCUUUAAAGCUUGAAGAAUUCCAAUCCACGAGGUAAACUCUUUGUGUAGAAAUUGGAUUAUUGUCCAAUAUCUAAACUGCCCUCGGCAUCGGAAGUAAGUUUGUUAUUUUAUGUAGUUAUUUACAAAUAGUAUGACAUAUCCUAUAAAUGCAUAUACAUGCGCAUAUAUAUAUAUAUAUAUAUAUAUAUAUAUAUAUAUAUAUAUAUAUAUGUGUGUGUGUGUGUGUGUGUGUGUGUGUGUGUGUGUGUGUGUGUGCAGAUACAUCUCUAAUGUUAACAAUUUGUCCCACAUACCAUUGUGUACCGUGAGUAGGAUCUAAUUUGAUGCGAUUUCGAAUGACUUUUAAACAUUACAGACAUCUGACAUCUGUCUACAUACUCAGAUCUGUCUUGUUUGAUAUGCCGCUGAUUAAGGUGUUGUCAUUAGAACGUGGAAACAGUCAUCAUUCUCAUACAGCUGACAAUACGAGUCAACUGAAUCUUUGCGUGAUCCUGAUUAAUUGUAAAGUUGUGAUUUUUACCUGGGGUCAACUUGUACAACAAUUUAGUGUUAGUUAUUGUCUCAAAAGUAGCAUAUCGUCAUGUGAUUAGGAAAAAUGAUGAUACCUUUAUACAUUUCAAAUAAAUUUCCGCAAUGUAAUAUAUAUUAUAAAACAGCAAGAACUUUUUUCAUUCAUGUAUUGAAAUCCAUCAAACGGACACACUGUAUAAAAUGAAAAGUGAUCAAUUAGAACAGCUCACAAAUCAAUAAAACCAUGGAAGAUUCACCAAUGCACUGCUACCUAGAGACCGUAGUAGACAUGCAUCCCUGUCUUCAGCGCUGAUGGGCCUUUAUAUCCAUAUAUUCAACUCUGGUGUGUAUUUAUAUUCCAUUUGUCAAUUCUGGUGAGUAAAACUAUUUUCUCUCUCUAUGGAAUAGGCUGCUAUAAAGCAAAACAUCCUUUACGUAACUAUGUAAAAAGUUACACGUUUACUUGUUAUGUACAAGUUCACCUUUUGUUUGGUGUCUAUAAGGUAUGUGUUUAUGAUGGCGUAUUUUGUACGUCUGGAGAGAUGAGGGAUCGAAUAAAAAAUCACAUUAUUUUCAUGUUUAUUACACUUAUUACAAUGACGACAAUAAUCACAAACAUGUAAUACGGUAAGUUUUAAAUAUUAUUUUAUUAUUUAUUUCUAUUAUCGUAUUUGAACAUUUCAGGACAUCAGAAAAGAAGAAGAUGUGACUGUUGGGUAAACAAUGGCGUGGUCUGCUGUGGGUUUUUUCUUUGGAUCGGUGCCAGAUACUGACGGGCGGAUUAAAAUCCAGACACACAGAUGGGAUUCGAGCAUUCUACAUUCGGCACAUAAUUCAGAAGCUCUAUCCACUACGCCGCUGGCGUUGAUGACAUCUGUUGAACAUAACCUGUUUGGAAGAUAUGAAAUCACUUCAAAUUCUGCUGGUUACACCAUCCCCAAAUAUAUUUCAAGGACAAUAUGUUGAGAAGGGUGUAUAAAUGAUGAAUACUGGAUAGCACGAGAUAAGCAUUACAUCAACAGUAAGAGAAGGAGCAAUAUCGCCAUUUGAUGAUUUGCGCCCUGCCCACUGGACAUACCACGACUACCACUCCAGUUCACUCGGCUGUACAUUGAAUUAGUAUUGGCUUCGGUUGGAGGGCGAGCUUAGACUGUGAUGGACUGGUGUCUCACUCUGUUACUCUUAUCCGUUAACCACUUAUCAUUCCGAGGAAUGACAAUGAUGAUCAGAAUUCAUCAGUACCUCCGCAACUAGUAGGAUUCAGAAGUAUUCAUAGUAGAGUUUUUCACCCCAAGCUCAAAUGAUGUAGUUGAUGCAGAACCCGCAUUCCCUAUGGUGAACUGAAACUGAAAAGUGCCACAGGAUGACAAAACUUUCUCAUGAUGGAGACGUCACCAAUGCCGGUGAAGGACUUCAAAAUUUAGGCCUAUGAUUGGAGGUUACAACCUUUGAGCAGGGGGUCUUUAUUCUGUCACACCUGCUGUGACACAGGGCCUCGGGUUAUGUUGUCUUAUCCGAAGAACCGCCCCGUUUAGUCGCCUCUUACGACAAGCAGGGAUACUGAGGACCUAUUCUAACCCGGAUCACGGAGGUGUAUCGUCCAUAAUCGGCUCCACAAAAAUUUAAUUCCACAGGAAACCAACCAACAGGACGGACACAUAAUUGUGUGCACUCGAUUUAAGAUGUAGAUAUUAAACUUAAUUGCUAUCAAUAUGUUGAGGAGUGUAUACAUGUGAUAACUAUAUGACGAUACACGAUAUACUGGCUGUCAUCGUAAAUAAAAGAUAAAAUGCUUGUUCUAAUAAUAUGUGGUCAACUUGCGAGAAAAUUACGUUUUGUUUGAAUAAAAUAUUUUAUUUAGGCAUGGCGGAGUCGAAAUUAUUGGUUGAAUCUUUGUUUCCUCAUGGACUUAACCAUCAUGCAUGUUUUAUUUGUGAUUUUUUCAUUUAUCCAAUGUUUUGAAAAGAUGAAACUCGAAGUAGUAAGCCACGGCUAAUAGAAAUUUUCAACGCCUGUUUAGAGUUUGGAUUUUUAAUCACCACUGAGAUAUGACUGAAUUAUAUGCAACGCGACGGAAAACACCAAAGCUUCAGUUAACUAACUACAAGAGACGAUCUAAUGUACUGCAUAAACAAUAUACACAAUUAAAACUGUAUUUAAAUCUAGAUCCGUACAUUCUUGAAAUCACAUAUUAUCAAACCUAGGUAUAUGACUGUUUUACAUGCGGGGAGCAUUAUGCAGAUUUACAUUUCUCAAAUUUGAAGCUUUGAAAGCUGAAAAUAACGAACAGUGACCAAUCUCAUAAAUCCCACAAGCAAUACAAAUUAGAUAGUUGGGCAAACAUGGAACCCUGGACACACCAGAGUGUGGAUCAUGGAUGAACCGUCUAAAUAUUCGUCAUGAUAAACAUUCAUUGCUUAGAAAAAAUAUAAUAUUCAUAUUUUUUAAAUUUUUGGUUACAUUGCUAAAUAGCGCAUUUGACCUGAUGGGUAUAUCUAAUUUUCUACCAUGUCUUUAUAUGAGCAUUAUAUAUAGCCCUGGUUAUAUAUAUCAUAUUGUUACAUUGUUGGAAUAUCACAGAACAAUGUUUACACGUUUUGCAGGAUUAAACAUGAGUCUUUUAAAAAUAUAAUCCAAACUGUAAUAAAAUUUUAGAUACAU